rnacentral:lncRNA from 1 species
CGGCGGUGGUGGCCAAGUACGGGGAGAAGAGCGUCUACUUCGACCUGGACGACAUCGCCAACACGACGGGGCAGUGGGACCUGUACGGCAGCGACGCGGCGUCGCCCUACAACGGCCUGCAGAGCAAGUUCUUCAACACCUUCGCCGCGCCCUUCACCAAGCGGGGGCUGCUGCUCAAGGUGCUGCUGCUCGGCGGCGGCUCGCUGCUCGCCUACGUCAGCGCCACCGCCUCCCCCGACCUGCUCCCCAUCAAGAAGGGGCCCCAGCUGCCGCCCACCCCGGGACCACGCGGCAAGAUCUAAAUCCCAUCCUUCUUCUUCCCUCGUCUCGCCUCGUGCUUGUGUACCAUGGAUCUCAUCUGAUCUGAUGGAUCUCCCCUAUCUAUGUGUUCUGUUGAUACUUGAUCGUUGUACUUCGUAUCAGUAAUUGGAAAGAUGCUGCGUGCAUGGUGCAUGCAAUUACUAGAUCAUUUGCUCUUCGAUGAUUGCUACGUACUGGUUUUUGUACCAUGUUUUUGCUGUACUGGCUGUUUAAAUUACUUGUCUAGAGGGUACAGUGCCGAUCCAUAGUUCUUCCCCUUUGGUUUAUGUCACUCUAGCCAAUACGUAUUGUCCGGCCGGCCUACUCAUGGCCCUACGUGCACAGCUGCACACGUACAUACUCCCCCGUCCGCCCGGAACUGCUAUCCAUUUCUGCGACAAAUAAUUCAGAACAGAGGAAUUAUUUACUAACGGUUGUUGCUGCUGCCAGCGGGAAAUUAGAUCUUACCCCACUUGUUUCGUUAAUGUCUACUCCCUCCGUUUCAAAAUAGAUGACCCAACUUUGUACUAACUUUGUACUAAAGUUAGUAUAAAGUUGAGUCAUCUAUUUUGGAACGGAUGGAGUAAUACAUACCAUCAAUCAUACAUUGCUUCGUCGAUUUAUGCAAAAAUCCAACUGACAUUAUAACACUGGGAAGGCUACGCUUAACAAACAUUGCAUGGAAACACAGGGUCUGGAAGAGGUCAAGGUUAACUAGUAUACAAGUGGGCUAGAGAACUACUACAUGUCCAUUUUUCAGGCUCAGUGUGAAAAAUCUCAUGAUUAUUUACAUCAUGUAGAACAGGGGGUCCACACUUCAGCAGCACAUCAUCUUGGCCUCCAUACCAAAUUUCCAUUGGGGGUCGAACACAAUGGAGAUACAGACAGGUGUCCCAAAGCUUACAUAAACCUCACAAGUCACAGUGCACCUUGAUCACAAUGCUCUGAACACAUAUUUACAUGCAUUUUGGUCCGAAUGAUCUGGCACAUAUGUCUUCCCCCACCCCAUGCACCUCCUCGCCACCCCCGCAACCCCCUACGGCAGCGCGCCACUAGUGUCUAGAUAUGGGGCUGCGUGCUCCGCCCAGGUUCUCAAGCUUGUCCAGGUAGGAGUACCUCUUGGUGCCGAUCUUCGAGACCUUGCUCAGCUUCUUGCCCUGGGGAUCCUGUGAUUCUAGUAUCAUGGUCUCGAUGGUGCCAUCCCGAGGCCCCACGUAGUCGAACAAUGUCGAGUUAACCGGCUCCAUUCUUCCCAGCCUCCCCAUCUCGUCCUUGGCGUCUUGGACCACCGUGUCCGUGUCAUCGGAUGUCAAGCUCGGCAUCCGCAACGAGUCCCCUUGCUUGGGGUCUUGGGUGAGGGAGUCGGCAUGGAGAACGUCCUCGAUGCGGGACAUGACGGUGUAGGCUAGGCUCUCGAGCGUCCUUGAGUAGCUCUCCAGAAUGGCACUCCCAACAUCCUGCAAAAACAACACGGAAACACAAAUGUAUGUAGUUGGCAUUAUAGUAAUGAAAAGGUAGUGUAGCAAUUCCGAAAACAAAGUGAAAAUUGUGGGUACCCUGUUGUAUUGGAUUUUGCUGAUGUCCAGAGCUGAUUGGGAAAUCCCUGGAAACCUGUGCUUGAGGAGGAGAAGAACGUUCUCCGCCCUCCCCUCGAACCGGCCCCGCUUCUCGUGGCUGACGCCAUGGCCCCACUUGCCGUCCCGCUGCAUUUUCUUUUGCCAAAUGACGACCGACGCUUCAAUCCGGUUCUUCAGAUCAACAAUGUUGUACUCAUUUGACAGGUCAACCGUUGCUAUGAGUUCUUCGGGGUUGAAAUAAUCGUCGGUUAUAAGCUUGUACAUCGAGUCCCCGAGGGUGGAUUUCCCAUUCUACCAAUCAUAAGAAUAAGAGGAUCUUGUCAUGUGAGAUCUCAGUAAUGUAGUUAAGUAAGUUAGAUGUGAUUGUUGUAUAAUAACGUCCUUGUGUUCUUAUGGAUUACCUUAGGCAGAGUCUCCAUGUAAGCUUCUGGAACAUCCAUCUCCAUGAGAACAUUAGCAUUGAUGGCCAUUGUUGCCUUCAAGACUUGGUUGACGAGCUCCUUCUGGUGCUGAAGCCAUCUCCUCGUCGAGUCUGACAGACCCUCGGGAGGGACCUUGACCGUCGGGAGCCACCAUUUGUCACUCUGCUCCGCCGCGUCGCCCUUCUCAGAUUCAUUGUCAUUUUUCUUCACAUACCAAAACUCCUGCUUGUCGCCGAAACUAUCGAGAUAGUCCUGUUCGACAGCGGUAACAAAUUAGCAAUUCAGCUAUCUUCACAUCAAUCUCGUAAACAAUUCAGAGAAUGGUGUGGAAUUUUAUAUUACAAGGAGCAUUCCGUCAAGCUUGCGCAAUGCCGGGAUGUUCAUCAGCAGGUCUCUGCGUUGCUGAGUUAUCAUAACCUGCUUGUCAAAAAAGAAUAAAAACGUACUAUUGUAAUUAGUUGUAAUUCGAUUUGCAUAAUGAGGUUGCAUAGUACAGGCCCUAAGCAAGGCAAAAACAAAAGUGUGACCGCCUAAGGCUCCAAUAGGCACAACCCACAUUGUACUUCUUCACUAACCAUUCUUUGUAGUACCUCCAAAGCAACAUAAACAAUCAAGUUUUUUUCAAGAAGCAGGAAUACCCCCGGCCUCUGCAUCUCUUGAUGCAAACAGCCAUACAUAAACAAUCACGUGUAAUGAAAAUAGGGGUAGGGAUUUGUUUCUGACCUCCAUGGUGCUGCCAUCCUCGGCCACCUGGCGUGAAGGAACAAACUCGACGAUGAAAUCGGUGACAGAGAGAAGCCAGUCGAUCUCCUUUGUCCACCGAGCCUUCGGCUCAGGGGCCAUCGGUUGGAGACGCCGCUGCUCACCGAACACGGAAGCUGCAACAGCGUGCCACCACGAGAAAGAAUACAUAACCGGUAAGAUUUUCCACAAGAAACCAACCACGAAUUGAAAUGAUUUGAAAUCCAGAAAUCAUGCAUUUUAGUCGUGCAUGUACUCAUUGCGAGGUCUAAGAUUAUAUGGUGUACAAAAAGGUUGUUUUCUCAUCCGCAAAAAAAGAGAGGAUGUUUUCACCAAUUUCCACUAAAUUAUUUUGAGGAUUAAAAUCAUUUAAGCCAUUACUUUUGUUUGGAAUUUGUAGUGACAAGUACAGUAUAUACUAGGCCAGGUUAUGCACAUUGGGUGAUGUACUCUCAUUUAUUAGACCAAUUUUUUCACACACCAAAAAUUCCUUUAAUUUAGCUCGCACCAUCAGGGCCAGACGUGGAAACCAUUCACGAAAUGGAAAUGGAAAGAUUUGAUAUGAAAUUGAGUGAUUAGCUGCUCCUGCUAGAUUGGUGAUGGCACAAAAAUGGAAACAUUGGAAAGAAAAGGGAGUGAUUACCUGCAAGAUUGGUGAUGGCAUUGGACAGAGCAAGAGCCGAGGAGACUCCUUUGCCGCUGCCGGACAUGUCCUCCCCCAGCAGCAGCUUGGAGAACUUCUCCUUCACCAUGUCCAUGUCUGCAACCGAUCGACCACCACCGGAGCAAUUCAUUCGUCGAGCAAGGCCGCAUUGAUCGAUCACGCUAGCUAGAAAUCAACCGUGGUCACGCACGCACCUGAUGGCGGGCCCUCGGGCCGGGGCGCGGGCUUGGGGGGCGGCGCGGCCGACGUGGACGGCCUGGGCGCGUCGGACGGGCCGCCGGCGAGCGGCGCCGGGAUGAGGUCGACCGAAAGCUUGCCCCUGGACCCGCAGCUGCUCCGGGAGAGCAUCCUCCUGGCGCACGGCAGCGUCUGGGUCUUGGUCGACGGCUCCAUCGUCGGGCUUCCAGGGUCGAGGACCACGUCCUCCGACGACGCCGAGGACGAAACCGACGAGAGCGGCGACGAGGGCGUCGACGACGCCUUCCCGGACUUGCGCCGCCUGAAGGAGAACCUGGAGUCGCGGCCGUGCCCGGUCUUGAGGAACGGCGGCGCCAUCACGCGCUCAUCGCCGCCAGUCACCACCGCAUUACGCACGCACGUACGCCGACGCACGCGGGCCGGCCGAGGUCAGGCGGGCAGAGAGAGGGUGGGAGGGGAUGGAACGCCGGCCGUUCGUCCGUCCGUCCGUCCGUCCGACCUCGCGCCCCCGCGCGCGCGAGAGAGAUGGGAGGAGGGAUGUCCGGUGGCGCGCGUGGCUGGCUGGCUGGCUGGCUAGAUUCGGGGGAGGCGGUUUUGCGAGGGAGGCGAGGAGAGGAAAGGGGGGAGGCGAUGUCGCGGCGUGUGUGUGGGUGGGUGGAUGGCGCGAGCUGCAGGCGCCGCGGGAAAUGGGUCCGUUUUGUGUGUGUCGUCCAGCCCAGGUCGGCCACGCUCCCUCCCUCCAAACACGGGCAAUGGGAGUGGCUUAUCGUUGGAGAUGUUGUACCACGCUUCUAUUUUUAAUCUCACUCGGCCGUGCCUACUUUUCUCCAUCUCGCUUGGUGGUUAAUUAGCACGUGCUGCUCUUAGGAGUACAGCUUAACAGUACACUUGGGAUCGUCGGCAUCACGGUGAAUUAUAAUAACUCUGCCUCACAGUACAUGGGAUCGCAUCGCCUGCCAUACCCUUUUUCGUGCCCCUCAUUGAGCGCCGGAAGAUAACUUAGAGCAUCUCCAGCCGCGCCCUCAACAAGGUCUUCAGGCGAUUUUUUGGCCUCCGGCGUCGAAAAAUCGGCCCAGUCGCGUCCUCAAAGACCUUUUUUCGCCGGCUUGGGCUGAAAUUGGCGCCGGCGGACCCAGGCCGAACCCGGCGCGCUGGGGGGCGCAUGGGGCGCCGGCCGAAUCGUUUUUAGCGCGAAAAUCGGCGGGCCCUCGUUGGCAGCGACUCGGCUCUUCUCGUCGCUUCGUCGUCCUCACCGCCUCGGUUCCCGCGGGGGAAUCAAUGCCAAAGCUGCCGCGCCGGUCAGCCUCCUCCAUUGAUACCUCACGGGCGGCGCAGUGAAGACGGGGCGACGCGCGUCCAUCGCCCGCUACGCGUACACACGGCGGCCACGCGAGCGCCGCCUAUAUAAGCCGCCCCCUCCCGCACCGGUGAGCCACGCACAGACCUGACUCUCCACCGUCGACGCCCCCGUUCCUCCUUAUCUUCUCGCCGUUUCCAGUUCACCCAAUGGCCGAGCGCUACCCAGGCGAUGGCGCGGCGGCGAACGGCUUCGGCCGCCGCCACCUUCACGAGGACGAAGCCCGGCUUCUCUAUGAGGCCGAGUACCCGGUCCCGCCGGACAUGCGGGUGCCCGGGGCAUGGAGGAUAAGCGCCGGCGGGGUCCCGGUGCCACCGCCGCCCACCGGGGCGGCGCUCGUGCGGAGAUCGCCCGUAUCCGUGCCUCUCUGCCGCAGGCGGCGAGAGAAGGGCCGAGGUACACCCCCGACAGCACGCUGUGGGAGCCGUACUUCCGUCACCGCCACGCCGAGCAGCUCGAGGCCACCAACGGCGUCGUGCCCUCUGGGAGGCUCAAUGCCGACGGGCGCCGCCGAUGGUGGGGCGUGCUCGGCCACACGCUGGAGGCCGUCCUCGAGUACAUCGAGGGCGGCAACACGCCGAGGCUGGAGUACCCCGCUCCCCCCACCUUCUCCCGCCGGCGUGGGAGCUCGUGGACGCCGAGACGCAUGGACCCGUCGUCCUUCUCCUCGUCCGGCCCCUCGUCCAGCUCUCCCUCCCUCCUCCCCGUCGAGCCGGAGCCCCAAGACGCGCCGAUCAGCCGGCGUACCUGCAGCUGCGGCAUCCGCAUCGCCGAGUCCUCCCCACCUCUGCCCGGCUCGUCAGGCCGAAGGUGGAGUCCGACCUCCCCGCGGAGUACGAGGCCAUAGCCCGGCGCGACUUCUCCGACGAGGCCGCCCUGAAGUGGGCGCGGGACGACUACCUCCGCGACGAGAUGGUCCGAUAGCGCCGAGCCCUGCAGGAGAUAGCUGCCCGCCAGCGUGUGCGCGAGGACGAGAACGGCGUGGUGAUCCUCGAUAGCGACGAGGACGAGGAUGCCCCUGACCGUCCAACCCGCCGCGCGUCGGCAACCCUGGGCAGGGGAGCAGCAGGGACGAUGGCCGCGGAGGUGUUGACGACGACGACGGCGGCGGCGGCGGCGGUGACUACACGCAGUUCUACAGGCUCCUCGGCAUGUAGAGCUCCAGGGCGGCGGGCGGCGAGGAACGGCGAGGGCGACGGCGGGUCUAGUAGUGUUUUUUUUUCUUCUUUUGUAAAAUAUUUAUGAACUCGCCGAAGUUUGGUUGAAUUUGCGCCUUGUUUGUGCAAAUGUGGGGCCGGAUUUUGUUUUUCAAAAAAAUGUGGGCGCGGCGACUGGGGAGCAUCACGCCCCCAGCACGCUGUUAGCGCCGGUACGCCCCCAGGAGGCAAUUUUUAGCGCCUCCUGGGGGGCCAAUGACUGAAGAUGCUCUUAGACCUGAUUCAUCAGAUCAUAUGGCAAUGGUGUCAUGGCAUCGUUCCUCUUCAUGAAGGCGAUGUCUUAGGUUGCUCGUGUCGUCCCCAAUUUAAAAUUGGAGAUGUUGAACGUUGUGUUGCUUUGGGUUGCUUCUCAAGGCGUGGGCAUAGGAAGCGCAAUGUACGGCAUUGCAGAUGCUUCCUUUAUGGCUUCUUCCUCCAGCCCGGCCUGUCCUGCAAUGCACUUGCCCCGUGAGAGGGGAUCUGACCACGCCAGGAGCCACCAAAACCUAUCUCCAUCCAAUAGUGAUCUAGCUAGUGUCAGGGUGAACUCUUUGACAAUGCCUUCAAGAAAGAAAAGGACGCCCGUAGACGCCUUCACCGCUGAUACCUACCAUGUCGGCCAAAGCAGACGCCCAUAGCCCAGAGACACUCAACCUCGACGAGUAGCAUGGGAGGAACUCAAACACCGAAACACACGGAUGUUAGUGAUAGACCACACAAAGGCGGGUGGAAUCCCAAGCUUCUAUGUCACUACUUCAUCCCCAUGGAUGUACCGGCUGAAAGAACAUGCGGUGCCCCCAUGUUUGGUUUUGGUAAUUGAUGACAAUCUCUAUGGACUAAUGGUUGCCUUGAGUUAUAUUUGAAGGAUUUGUCCAUAGGCAUUUCUUGAAGUUCAUGUGUUGGUUUCAAGGAGUUUAUGUGGUGAUCAAGGUGUUAUUAAGGAAUUAUCCAAAGAUUGGUCAUGUGAGAGUUGAGCUUAUUGCAAGCAUGUCUUGGAGAAGAAGAUUGUGUGAUCAUUCAUGUAUAUCUUCAAGACAUCAUCCAAAAGAAGAGAGUUGAAAAGAUUCAAGGUUGAUCAAGACUAAGUCAAGAGUGAAUCAACUUGAUCAACUCACAAAGCGUAGAAGAUGUACCAAGAGGGAUCAAGCGAUCCCAUGGUGUGGUAAGCAUUGUCAAUUACGCUUUGUGUACUAACCCAUGAUCUUCGUGAGAGUUCUUUGUGGGGUUAGGUUGCGGUGUGCAAGUUCAAGUGAAGCAUCAUGAAAGAGAUCAAAUGCUUGGAGCUUGCCGUCCAUUGUGGUGACAAUGGACUUGUGAAGAUGUUGCGGUGUGCAAGUUCAAGUGAAGCAUCAUGAAAAGAUCAAAUGCUUGAAGGUUGCCGUUCAUUGUGGUGAUAAUGGACUUGUGAAGAUGUGUGAAAGAGUGGCUCACCCAUAGUGGAGUAUGGGGGAGCAAUCAACUAGUCUUCAUCGAGCCAACGCAACCAAGAAAGGUGGUCCAACUUGAGGGAGUCAAGAUCGUCAUCAUCUAGCUCAAGUGGACCAUGUGCAAGGCAAAGGUUUGCCCUUGAUAGGUUUUCUAUUUUACCGGUCUCGUGAUGGUAGUUGGGAGACCGGGUUAUAGGAUCGAUUGCCGUACUAUCAAGGGGGGCUCUUGAUGAGUAGCUUGAUCGUAUCAUUCGUAGAGAGCUCAAACCAUUGCAUCCUUGCAUCAUCUUUCUUGGUUCUUGUUUGCUUCUCUUUGUGAGUUUUGGAGCUUUUGGUCAUCUUGUUGACAAGCUCGAGUUCAUCGAAAACUGAGUUCACUUGCAUCUUCUAUGAUGUUUUCGAUGUUGGAGGUUAUCUCCGUUCUUCUCUGUUGGAGGUUUCACUCCUCCAUUUGUUAGGCAUACCUCCCCUGCCUCUUCGCUGUUUUGAUGCUACUCGUCUUCCUCUAUCCAACAAGCUUGAGUUUGCUCAAUUCGGAGCUCAUUUGCAGAAGUUAUGACAGUUUUGGUUUCCCGUGGAGUAUACUUGUUUUCGUGGUAGUGGCUUUAGGAUGGCGCCAGCGGUAGUACCGCUUAGGAGUCACAGGCGGCAGUACCGCUCCGCAACGGUAGUAUCGCCGGUGGGUCCUCAGCAGUAGUACCGCUGCGGUACCAGGCCCCUACCGCGUCGACUCGAGGGGUCAUUUUUCGUGUCGGAUUGUGUGGUACUCCGCAGCGACAGUAGAGCGGCAGUGCCGCUCAUGAGCAGUAGUACCGCCCUACCAUUGCGGCAGUACCGCUCGAGUCCGUAUCUCUCCUGCCCUCCUAACUCCACGGUAGUACCACCCGGGGGAGCGGUAGUACCGCUGCCUUAUGCGGUAGUACCGCCCUCUGCGGGGCUGUUUUGGGGGUAACGGUUGGAUUGUUCCCCCCACUAUAAAAGGGGGUCUUCUUCCCCAAUGAACCUUAUCCGUUGAGCUCGUGUUCUUCCCCCAUUGUUGACCUUCUUCGAGCUUGCUAACUCUCAAUCCCUCCAUGGAUUGUUGCUAGUUUUUGAGGGAAAAGAGAGAGGAGAUCUAGAUCCACAUUUCCACCAAUCACUUUCUCCUUUUUGUGAGGGGAACCCCUUGGAUCUAGAUCUUGGAGUUCUUGGUGUUCUCCUUCUUGUUCUUCCUCUCUUUUUCCUCCCUAGCAUUAGUUGCUUCGGUGGGAUUUGAGAGAGAAGGACUUGGCCACUCCGUGUGCCCUUGCCAUUGCAUUUGGCGCAUCGGUUUGAGUUCUCCACGGUGAUACGUGGAAGUUACAAGUUGAGAAGCUUAUUACUCUUGGGUGCUUGGUGCCCUUGAGCUUGUUCCUCUUGGGUGCUUGGGCGCCCUAGACGGUUGGUGGUGUUCGGAGCUCAAUCAUUGUGGUGUAAAGCUUCGGGCAAGCGUCGGGGUCUCCAAUUAGGUUGUGGAGAUUGCCCCGAGCAAUUUGACGGGUACCGGUGACCGCCCCAAGGGUUGCCAAAGUGUACGGGUUCGGUGACCGCCCCCAAGGGUUGCCAUUUGUACGGGUUCGGUGACCGCCCUCAAGGGUCCCUUAGUGGAAUCACGGCAUCUUGCAUUGUGCGAGGGCGUGAGGAGAUUACAGUGGCCCUAGUGGCUUCUUGGGGAGCAUUGUGCCUCCACACCGCUCCAAACGGAGAUUAGCAUCCGCAAGGGUGUGAACUUCAGGAUACAUCGUCGUCUCCGCGUGCCUCGGUUAUCUCUUACCCGAACCCUUUACUUAUGCACUUUACUUUGUGAUAGCCAUAUUGUUUCUUGUCAUAUAUCUCGCUAUCACCUAAGUAGUUUUUUCUUGCUUAGCAUAAGUUGUUGGUGCACAUAGGUGAGCCUAGUUGUUGUAGGUUUUGUGCUUGACAAAUUAACCGCUAGGUUUAUUCCUCAUUUGUUCAAGCCUCAACCGUAAUUAUUUUAAAGCGCCUAUUCACCCCCCCUCUAGGCGACAUCCUCUAUCUAUCACCGGCAAUCCUGUUAAUCAAGCCAUCGCCGCGGCGCCUCGUCGACGUCCUUGCUUGGACUCCGGACCCAAAAGUACACGCACAUCUACGUGCUCCACGAGAAGGGCACCGGACGCCACACGUGCUGUCUGGGAAGCAUUGUGGGGGUGCCCUGCCCCUCCUAAGGUAAGUGUCUUUGCAUGGCGUCUAGUCACUAACUCACUGGAUGCAAUGGCAAAUAGAGCAAAAAGGAAUAUGAGUGAGCAUUGGAAAAUGCAAAGACUAGAGGAGGUCAAAAAUUCUGGACUAGAAUGACUCUUGCACCUACCGCAACAUUGCAGUGAGAGGAGCGGCUCCCUAUCCUCAUGACACUGUUUAGGACCUGUCACAUACAUAAUGAAGCUACCCACCAUAAGCCAGCACCUCCAAUUGCUGCAUCCCGGAGAUUCUUAAAUAACUACAUCAACUCAUUAUUAUGCAUCAAACAACACCCAGAAGCUGGCAUAACACAAGAUCCAAGGGGAAUCACAGGAAAAUAUAAGAGAAAGCCACUCAAAGGACAGAAUACACAUACAUUACUCCUCAAAACCAAAAUAAUUUAAGGGGUGCAUCUUAGAUCCAAGAACAACAACGGAAAAAUAAAAGUAACAAGGGUAGUUCUUCCCCAGACUCUAGGAGAUAUGAAGGCCUUGAGACAUAGUUUUCUCCAAAUCUCAAAGAGAGGUGAAAACCUUGAAAUCCAUGUGGGUUCUUCUCCCUGAAGAGGUCUUCAUCCUAGGAGGAAGAUUGAUUGAGCAAAGCUCUCUCAAGUUUCUAUCUUAUGGUUUCCUAACCCUAGAGUCCAUGAGGGGAUGAGGUAUAUAUAGCCCUAGAUGUGAAGGGGUAAAAAGGGGCAAAAGGAGAAGAUACAUGGACACUGGACAAUGCCCAACUACUUGCACACAGGCAAGCCCGGGGGACGGGCACUACCAGGGAAAAGUGUAUGGUAGACGCUUACUAGUAGCGCGUGUUUAUACCCCUCGCUACUGCUACUUACCAGUAGCGCGGGAUUAUAUACCCCUCGCUACUACUAAGUUGACAGUAGUAGCGCGGUUUUAUAACCCUCGCUACUACUAAGUGGUGUCUAUCGUGCCCCCGGGACAUGCCAUAGUAGUAGCGAGGGGUAUAAACCCGCACUAUUACUAAGUUGAUAGUAGUACCGCGGGUUUACAUCCGUCGCUACUACUAAGUAUAUGGUUUUUGAAGAGCCCUGAAAUCCCCAUCUCCACCCCCAAAUCCUUCCUCUCCCCCGUCACUCUCCCCCUCUCUCUCCCUAGGCUCUCACAUGGACCUCCUACCCAUGAGCGCCUCCUCCUCCAUGGCGCCAAAAGAGGCCGCCGGCGUCCCAAAGCUCGCCGGUCUUCCCCGCAUCUCCAUGCCACCAGGCCAGAGCACCUCACCAUCGGCGACCAACCCCACUACUACCUCCAUCUCCUUCCUCUCUCCCUCGUUUUUCUUUUUCUCUCUCUCCCUCUGGUUUGACUCACCCUCGCAUGUCCUUGCCGGUGCAGGUCAUCGCCAUGGACGACCAGGAGCUCGCUGCCUUUCCUGCGAAGAGUAGCCCCACGCCGCCGCCCUACUCGGCCAUGGAUCCGGUCCCUUUGUAGAAGUCGUCGCUGGAUCUGGUCUGCCACUGCCCUUCCGCACCUCCGGCGACCCCUGCCAUCGCUGGUUCGAACAAUUGCUGGCAUUGACAGCAUGCACGGGAUAGAGAUUUUUGUUUUUGUUUUUGAAAUUUAUAGUAGUAGCACGGGUGGCAACCACGCUACUACUAACAGACGUAGUAGUAGCGCGGGUGCACCCGUGCUACUACUAUAAGUUAGCUGUAGCGCCGUAGUAGUAGCGCGGGCACCCGCGCUACUACUAGUUGUUUAACCCGCGCUACUACUAGGGUUUUUCCUAGUAGUGGGGGCAUGCCGGGGACGAGGGCAAGGGCCUCGUGAGCACGAGGGUAAGGGCCGUGUGAGCAUGGGGUUAAGGGCCCCGUGGGCACGAUGGAUCUAGAGAGAUGACGAUAGGACCCAGGGGCACGGGUCCGGACGCUCGCGGCAAUGGGGUAUCCAGAGAGCUUCUCAGAUGCUAGACUUCGCGCAGACGCCUGCUGAUGCUUUCGGAACCUGGCCUUGCUCUUCACGGUUUCAUCUUCGCUUCGAUGCUUCCCUCUUGGACAGUGUAGAAGUUCUCUUGUGCUUGACCUUCGAUGUGCCAUGUGUGAUGUUGGGCUUGAGGGCUCGAACCUAAAGGUACACAAGUUAGAAGUGUCAAGUAGUAUACCAUCCUUGAGAAGACCAAGUAUACACACAUAAUGAAUACAAUUCACCUUAAUGUAUGUGUUGUUGUAUGCCCCUUGUGGAUGGGUCCAAGGCCAUGCUGAUGACCCUAGGAUGCUUGACAACAGUUUUUCUGCAGCAAGUAAAAACACCAAAACAAGACCAUACACCUAAUAAAUCUAGGAAGUUGAUGUAAGCACACUAAACUGGAUCUUGGUUGUGCCAUAUGCACAAUAUAAGUGCUACACAAAGACAUGCCGACCAACGUUCCUCCUCUUUCCAUGCAAGUUUCUCGCAAUGGCAAAAUAAUGAAGUUACUAGCAGGUCAUUGCUUCCCUUAAGUAUUGGUUCCUUGACAGCAUCGAUCUACUGAUAAUGACAAUGAGCUGUCGGAAGAUAUCACCAGGUUCUUCCUACCUCUACAUCACCUGAUCCAGUGCCGACAAGGGCAUGUGAGGAGGGGUGUUACUAGACUGUUGGCUCUCUUAAAAUCUUGAAAAUUAGCGUGUUAAACAAGUGAAUCACUUCAAAUCUUGAGAAUUAGGGUGUUAAUCAAGUGAAGCAGUUGGCGGGCACUUGGUGCGGCGACUUGGAACCCUUUUUCCGACAUGGUCUGAUUCUCUAGCCCUCUCGGUUGAUGGUGAAGUAUUGCAAGCAUCUGCUCCGUAUCUCCAUGGGGUGAUGCCCCAACUGUUGUUUCUUGAGCGGUUCUUAGAUCUCGCGUCUAAUGACGAGUGCCUAGCGCGAGAGCUUUUACAAUUGUCUUUUUUAUUUACUUUUUUGACUGUCAGCUAAGUGCAAUUUUUGGCGUGCGCAUAUCAGGGAUAAUCCUACAUCCACUUAAAGCUACGAACCCCUCUUACGUAAAAUUCCGGGUGGGGCCCCUUCCUCUCCCUUCUCCAAUCAUAGUUAGUUAGACACAUAGCUGAUUACGUAAACCACGUAACAUCCUUUAAGUAGGUGUAGCAUUACUCGCGUAUCAGUAAGACAUGAGAUUCAACCAGUAGCCCACGUGAAAUCCUAACAGGAGACUUAAUCAGUAGCCCACGUUAUAGAUCCGGCGGUCCAUGAUAGGAGUUCUAAGUUUUCAUUGAGUCGUCCGCUUUCACGUGAUACAUUUUUACCUCCUACCAUACCACGAGAAGAGAAGAGAAGCAAAGGCUGACUUCUCAACGAAACCAACAUGCACACUUUCUUAGUCCAAAAAAGCAUGCAGAGUGUGUCUCUGCAUUUUAUUACUUGCCUCUCGGUCAACAGCACGCCCUGACACGGCCCAGCUACGACGAAACACUCACCGGGCGACAGCCGUCGAUCUACCGAUCUGGCGGACAAUCGUCGCGGCAACAAGAUUACAAGAGUGGAAAGCCUCCCUGUCCCAGUCAAACCAACUACACCUGGAAAAAAACCGGGCUGGACCUGCCGAGCGCCGAUGGUGACCGAUCUACCUAGCUGGACGUUACGAGCCGCCGGCGCCGACGCCGUCGUACUUGAGCCCGAACUCACGGAACCCGAUCUCCAUGUCCGCCGCGGCGACGAGCAGCUCGGCCGCCUGCGCCGGCUCGAGGAUCUCCACGGCGCGCUUCAUGGUGCGCAGCCGCAGCGCGUCCGCCCCGGCCAGCACGGCGCCGACGCGGCCGACGAGCCCGCCCACGUCCACCAGCUCCCCGCCGGCGCCCACCGCGCCGUGGCCCUCCUGCACCCGCGCCAUCUCGCGCGACAGCUCGUCCUCCUGCGCCACGGUGCGGCGCUGCAGCUCGUCGAUCUGCGCCAGCUGGGCCGGGCUGAGGUCGCCGAGGUUGCCCGACCGCACGCCGAGCAGGAGGUCCGGGAGCUGCGCCUCGAAGCGGCGACCGGACUCGGUGUAGAGCAGGUGGACCAGCGUGGUCGGCCGCCACCCGGCCAGCCAGUGCGCCGCGCCACGCUCCACGGGGCUCGCCCACGGCGCCGCCAGCGUCCACACCGGGUCCAGCUCCGCCCGCGCCGCGCAGUAGUCGGCGAAGUGGGACACGUAGCCGGCCACCAGCUUGGCGAGCUGCGCCGGGUCGUCGGCCCAGCGCGCCGUCCGGAGGUCGCGGCGCAGCGACCGCAGCCCGCGGAGCCAGAGUUGGAAGCGCCGCGUCGCCGCCUCCAGCUCCAUCGUCCGGUCCUCUCCCUUUUCUGGCCAGGCGGGGGUAGUACAGUACAGUGAUCUUGCCCGCGCGCGUGCCGGCGGUACUUAUAAAUGGCGGCGAGAUGAUCUGGGCCGUUGAGCCAGAGGAAGCGACGGCUGCGGGCGCGGGCCGCCGGGGCGUAUGAGGCCGCGACAGGUGACCCGCAUGCAGGAGGCCAUGUGUGGUGGCCGGGUGGCGAGGUGGCGAUGGACGGCGACGUCCGGCGUCACGCUCACGCCUAGAUGAGCCGCGGGACAAAGCGGCCGGAUGAGGCUGACAUGGGGCCCGGCGUGCCAGUGGACGCGUCGAUCUGCGCAUUACUUUGUCCCACUAUAUGUCGUUCGUACCUAACGAAUGCAUCAUGUGCGGUUGCCACCUUCGACAAAAUGUAAAACGAACGAUGUGUGGAAGGGAGAAGUUAGGAAAACGGUGCCUAAUUUUUUCCAGAUGAGAUAGUGUUUAGUUUUCUAAAAUGCAGUUUAUGGAAGCGACGAUGAGUCUACAAGGAAAUGGGAAGAAAAAAAGAAUAUGUGUUCGUAAUUAUGCAAUUGUCUGCGAUUUUUUGGGUAGGUCGGUCAAAUCACGCGUAGCCCUGAGUCCAAGACGGGGACGUCACGGCAUAGCAUCAUCGAUGAGGCGAGCUUGCACCAUGCCAGAAACGGGGACGAAGCGGCUGGUCUCGUCGUUACCGGUAGGUCUGGCGAAGGCGUCACUAGUUUGGAUGGGAGUAGGGGUUCUCGCCGAUUUUGGAGAAGAGGCGUGGGCGACGGCACCUCCGGCGGCGGGUGGUGGGAGCGGACGUUAUUUGCCAAUGUNNNNNNNNNNNNNNNNNNNNNNNNNNNNNNNNNNNNNNNNNNNNNNNNNNNNNNNNNNNNNNNNNNNNNNNNNNNNNNNNNNNNNNNNNNNNNNNNNNNNNNNNNNNNNNNNNNNNNNNNNNNNNNNNNNNNNNNNNNNNNNNNNNNNNNNNNNNNNNNNNNNNNNNNNNNNNNNNNNNNNNNNNNNNNNNNNNNNNNNNNNNNNNNNNNNNNNNNNNNNNNNNNNUCGUAGGAGGAGGGAGAAGGGCUCUCAGCUCUCGGAUCCCGAUCGAAAGGUGAAGAUUGGUUUGACUAAACACAAUGGUUUUAGGGGCAAGUCAACUACUUGUUGCUUUAGCGUGUUAACCUUCAAUCCGAUGAUUAAUUGGCUAUUGUAGCUGAAUAACACGAUAUAAUACGACUAUGGGAGAGACUAGUUAUCCAAAUAGCUUCCAUGGACUAAAUCACCCAUUUCCAACCAAAGGUACCAGCCCGACGAUGGAAAGAAUUGAUCACCUGAGGCUGGAGCAAACCCGUCAUCGAAGAUGAUCCCUUUUGCUGGAAGCGGGAGAGUUUCAAAAUUAAGGAUGUCAGUAAUAGUUUAGUGCCAUUUCGGGUGUCUAAGACAAUGUGGAUCGGUAGUCUGCUAAUUUUGAGGAGAGUUUGAGACGCCUAGCUGGGUCGGGUUUUUAUGACCGGGCCGUCCGCCUGGUUAGGAUGCUCAGUUGUAAAUCCUCUAAGGCCCGAACAACCCGUCAUCUAAGAGCAUCUACAACUGGACGCCUCAAACCAUCUAUCAUAUACACCGCGAACACAUCCGGUCAGUGACCGAACAGACGAGAAAAGGAAAAAGUGACCCAACUGGAACCCUCAUAUUUUUUCUAUAUGUCCGGGCAGUCCGCGAACCCUAAUAUCCAUCUUAAAUAUGGGGAGGAUAUAAGGGCUCGCGGACACGUCCGGUCAGUGACCGGACAAAAGAGAGAAGGAAAAAGUGACCCAACUGGACCCCUCAUAUCUUCCCUAUAUGUACGGGCAGUCCGGGAACCCUCAUAUCCAUCUCAAAUAUGGAAAGAAUNNNNNNNNNNNNNNNNNNNNNNNNNNNNNNNNNNNNNNNNNNNNNNNNNNNNNNNNNNNNNNNNNNNNNNNNNNNNNNNNNNNNNNNNNNNNNNNNNNNNNNNNNNNNNNNNNNNNNNNNNNNNNNNNNNNNNNNNNNNNNNNNNNNNNNNNNNNNNNNNNNNNNNNNNNNNNNNNNNNNNNNNNNNNNNNNNNNNNNNNNNNNNNNNNNNNNNNNNNNNNNNNNNNNNNNNNNNNNNNNNCUUUUUCUUUUUUUCUUUAUUCAUUCUUUUUUUCUUUCUCUUUGUCUCUACCAAUCACAUGCAAGUGACCAGACAUAUGAGAAAGGAAAUAAGGAUUGUGGUUGCACGGAUGGGUAAAUAAAAGCUUAAAAUGAACACGUCCGGUCACUGACCCAGCGCGUCCGCGGGCGUUUGAGGGGUCGAAUUAGAGAUGGAUGAAGAUGCUCUAAGAUUACCGGAAUGGCCAGACCCCUUUUGCUGGAUGCGGAAGUGUUUUAAAUUAAGGCUGGCAACAAUAGUUUAGUGCCAUUUGGGGUGUCAAGACAAUGAGGAUAGCGUCGUCUGAUAGUGUCCCCCGGAGCCGGAGGUUAGAUUUCGACUUUCCGCCAUCAAUAAUGGAGCAAUCUGUUGUCGGAUUCGGCGUGCGGCCUGACUUCAUCGACGACCUUUCAUCGCCGCGAAGCACAAGAGCAUUGCUCUGACUUUGCCACUUCCCUGUACUGCAUAAUGCAUAUAUAUAGCAAUGCUUGCAUAUCAUGAUUUCAGAUUUCAAAUCAAAAUUACUCAGAAUCUAUUAUUUGAAUCGGUCAGGAGCAAGAUUCAGUGGGCAGCUGCAGUCAGUCAAUUUAGCGAGGUCUGAAGAAUCUUGACGCGGCCGUUGUACACGGAGCGCCGCGCCAGGGUGUUGUCUGGUUUCGAGCGAUUGGGUUUCAGUUAGAAAAUGUACACCUCUGUCACGUCAGGGUCAAACCCGGCGACGUGGACAUGUGUCCUCGCCGACGUUUACGAGGAGGACCUGGGCGAAAAUAACCUUGUGACAGUGAGUUCGCUGUCACGUUACUCUCGCAGCUUCUGCCAUUCGUGGAUCAUUGCGUUGCUACCCGUCAGUUCGUCGGACAGAAUCGCACGCUGCUCACGCCUCUUGAGCCUUGACUCACACCUGACGCCCGCACAUUUCGGCGCUUCAACAGCAGAGGAGAGGAAAGCUUCGUAAACAGGACGGUGUACUCAAUAGGAGUAGCUGUUGAUCAGGUGCGUUGGCACAUGGAAUCACUCCGUCUCCGUGACAGAAUCCACGUCAGUUUCUAGAGGCAGAGCCGGUAGUCAGUUUCGCAGAGAAACAUUGCCAAUUUGCCAUGCCCACUUCCCCGGUCAGGCUUCGGCGCUAUGUUGAGGACCCCGUACGUAUUGCUCUCUGAAAAUGGAAAAGGCUUCAAUGCCGGCCGGCUAACCACCCGGUUGGAAACGUUGCGGCUCUGCUGCCGAAUCGACGGAGACGGGACGUAGAUCGCGUGAAGCUCAAAUUAUUGUACAGUUCGUAGGUUCACUUUGAGCAUGUCGGAGUAAAUGACCACGGGUAGCCUCAUCAGCCCCCCGAUGGUAUUCCAAGACAUCGGGGCUAGCUGCGCCCCUUACACCUCCUGGAUGAACGACUGGCUUCUUGGGCCGGCUGGUCUAAGAUGCCAGCUGCUGGAAGACGGCAAGACAUCAGAAGGUGGCCACGAGGGAGCCGACUACUAACAGGCGCCCCCUCAUCCCCUCAAAGUUUACACCCACUUAACCUCGACGAGACGGGGCGUGGCUACAGUGCGGCCUGCCACCCCCGAAUCCAGGGCGGAACGUGGCCACAGUGCGGGUGUACCAAGCGGACGCCCCGCACCCGGCGCGGCACCGUAGCCACGCAACCCACGACAUCACCUACGUCAGAGGGAGCCCUGCUCCCACGAUGGGCGGUCGGUACCACCCGCAGGCGGCGGGCCCUGCCUGUCUGCAGUGGCGGAGACAGGGGGACCAGCAGGGGCCAUGGCCCCCCCUAACAUCAAGGAUUUACUGCUAAUUUACUUACAAACAGUGUAGAAUUAGUGUGCAUUUGCAGGUAAGAGCCUAUUUUUUUCAAUGGUUUGGCCCUCCCAACCAAUUUUAACAUCCUUGACCCCACUAAUCCAUUUUUCCUGGCUUCGCCACUGCCUGUCUGUGAGCUACCAGAAGGCAGCGAACCCCAAGCAGGCGGCAACAAGGGCGUGCCGACUCUCAGCAGGCGGCCCUCCCUCCCCUUGAGGGAGUCCUGGACUAAGGGGUCCUCGGGCGUCCGGCCUAUUAGCCGUGGGCCGGACUGAUGGCCUGCGAAGAUGCGAAGACCGAAUACUGCACCCGUGUCCGGAUAGGACCCUCCUUGGCGUGGAAGGCAAGCUUGGCGAUCAAAUAUGUAGAUUCCUUUCUCUGUAACCGACCUUAUGUAACCCUAGAUCUCUCCGGUGUCUAUAUAAACCGGAGGGCUUAGUCCGGAGGAAGAUACUCAUUACCAUAGUCAUACAGGCUAGACUUUUAGGGUUUAGCCAUUAUGAUCUCGUGGUAGAUCAACUCUUGUAAUACUCAUAUUCAUCAAGAUCAAUCAAGCAGGAAGUAGGGUAUUACCUCCGUAGAGAGGGCCCGAACCUGGGUAAACAUUGUGUCCCCUGUCUCCUGUUACCAUCGACCUUAGACACACAGUUCGGGACCCCCUACCCGAGAUCCGCCGGUUUUGACACCGACAUUGGUGCUUUCAUUAAGAGUUCCACUAUGCCAUCCCCUAAAGGUUUGAUGGCCCCUUCAAUCAUCAACAACGACGCUGUCCAAGGAGAAACCUUCCUACCCGGACAGAUCUUCGUGUUCGGCGGCUUCGCACUGCGGGCCAACUCGCUUGGCCAUCUGGAGCAGAUCGAUAGCUACGCCUCUGGCCACCAGGUCAGAUUCGGAAGCUUGAACUACGUCGCGGACAUCCGUGGAGACUUGAUCCUCGCCGGAUCCGAGACCGCGGCGACCGCUCUCUGUCGCCCCGAUGAACAUGACCUAAAUCUGUCAUCGGACCACACUCAGGAGAUUGCUCCCAUAACUGCUCUGGCCUUAGAUCCGGAGCAGAUCGCGCCAUCUGAGGACGGGAAGCUCAACCCUGCCACGGGGGCCACCGAUUCCGCGGCUAUGGAGCCGCACAUAGACUUAACCUCACACGAUAUCUGUGUCACCGGAACUCCGGACUCGUCUCCGGCCAUAAGCUCCGAACCAUGUGCGUCCGCGGACGCCGAGCUUGAUCAGUUAUCGAUCUUCGAAUUCAGCGCCGCAGACAUCUUCCAGCACUCGCCCUUUGGCGAUGUGCUAAACUCAUUAAAGAACCUAUCCUUGGCGGGGGACUCACAACCGAACUAUGUCCGGUUCAAACUAGGGGCUGAUGAUGGAGAAUUUUGCUUCCCACCCGCCACCCACUUCAUAGCCACUGUCGAGGACUUAACCGAUAUGCUUGAUUACGGCUCUGAAGACAUCGACGGUAUGGAUGACGAUGCCGAUGAGGAGCAAAGCCAAAACCCGCCAUUUACUGGACGCUAGACGGCCACUUCUUCGUACGAUGUGUACAUGGUGGAUACACCCAAAGCAACCAACGACGAUGAGAAAGAAAAUCCAGUUGAGAAUAAACCUCCUGAGACACAACACAAACGCCGGCGUCCUCAGCGCCGCUCUAAGUCACGUCAUUCAAAAGACAACAAUACUGGCACCGGAGAAAAUAAUACUCCGGAUGAUGCCGAAAACAAUGAAGACCCUAUUGAGGUAACAUCCGAACAGGAGGAACAAGAAAACGGGCAAGUUAGCCCCGAUGAACAGGCCAUGCCCAACGACUCGGAGGACGGUAGUUAUCACCCGCUCUCCGAGGAUGAGGAAAGCCUCGGCAACGAGGAUUUCAUCGUGCCUGAGGAACCUCUCGAUCAGGAGCGCUUCAAGCACCAGCUAAUAGCCACCACAAGGAGCCUGAAAAAGAAGCAGCAGCAGCUUCAAGCUGACCAAGAUAUGCUCGUCGACAGGUGGACUGAUGUCUUAGCAGCCGAGGAAUACGGCCUCAGCCGCCCAACCAAGAGUUACCCGAAGCGCAAAUUGCUAUCUCAGUUCGAUGAAGAGGUGCCGGAGCCCAUACCUCCCUCGCGUAAUGCGGCCGAUCGACCACUACGCGGUCGGGACAGUGCGGUGGACCGACCACCACGCAGUCGGGACAGAGCGGCAACUAAGGCCGAACAGCAUCCCGCCCCACCGCCACGUAAAAAUAGAGACAAAACAGUUCGGGGUCAUACAUACAACCUUUGGCAGGACCUGGACAGUAGAGCAGGAUAUACCAGAUCGAUUUACGGAUCGCGAGGACGUUCCUUGACACGCGAUGAUGGCCACCUAUUCGGGCGUGAGAAACCUAGUCACGCCCGGGCCGACAACCGCAGACGGACUCCAUCGGAGCUACGUCGCGAUGUGGCCAGAUACGGAGGCGCCGCACACCCUCUUUGAUUCACUGAUGAAGUAAUGGAUCAUGAAUUCCCCGAAGGGUUCAAGCCCGUGAAUAUUGAAUCAUACGACAGGCCAACUGAUCCCGCGGUAUGGAUCGAGGACUUUAUCCUCCACAUCCACAUGGCCCGCGGAGAUGACCUCCACGCUAUCAAAUACCUCCCACUAAAGCUUAAAGGACUAGCUCAGCACUGGUUAAACAGCCUGCCUGAAAAUUCUAUCGGCAGCUGGGAGGACUUGGAAGAAGCCUUCCUCGACAACUUCCAAGGUACAUAUGUCCGGCCACCAGACGCCGAUGACUUAAGCCACAUAGUUCAACAGCCUGGAGAGUCAGCUAGGAAAUUCUGGACUAGGUUCCUAACUAAAAAGAACCAGAUCGUCGACUGUCCGGAUGCCGAAGCCCUAGCGGCCUUUAAACAUAGCAUCCGCGACGAAUGGCUCACCCACCACCUCGGCCAAGAAAAACCAAAAUCUAUGGCAGCCCUUAUGACACUCAUGACCCGCUUUUGCACGGGUGAGGAUAGUUGGCUGGCUCGUAGUAAAAACACAACCAGCAAGGCAGGCCCCUCCGAGGUCAAAAACAACAACGGCAAGCUCCGAUGCAACAGACACAAACGCCGAAGCAAUGGUGAUAAUACCGACGAUACUACAGUCAACGCCAGAUUCAGCGGCUCCAAGUCCAGCCAGUGGAAGAAACCGUACAAAAGAAACAAUCAGGGACCAUCCAGCCUGGACCGCAUACUCGAUCGUCUGUGCCAGCUACAUGGCACCCCAGACAAACCAGCCAAUCAUACCAACAGAGAUUGUUGGGUUUUCAAACAGGCCGGCAAAUUAAACGCCGAGAACAAGGAAAAGGGAUCGCAAAGCGAGGACGAUGACGAGGAGCCCCGGCAACCGAACACAGGGGGACAGAAGAAGUUUCCCCCUCAAGUCAAAACAGUGAACAUGAUAUAUGCUACACACAUCCCCAAAAGGGAGCACAAGCGCGCACUCAGGGACGUCUACGCGAUAGAGCCAGUCGCCCCAAAAUUCAAUCCAUGGUCGUCAUUCCCGAUCACCUUUGAUCGUCGGGAUCAUCCGACUAGUAUCCAUCAUGGCAGUUCAGCCACGCUAGUCCUCGACCCAAUCAUUGAUGGAUUUCACCUGACGCGCGUCCUUAUGGACGGGGGUAGCAGCCUCAAUCUGCUCUAUCAGGAUACAGUGUGCAAAAUGGGCAUUAAUCCAUCACGGAUCAAACCCACAAAGACUACCUUCAAAGGAGUCAUACCAGGUGUAGAGGCCCGCUGUACGGGUUCAAUCACACUAGAGGUUGUCUUCGGAUCUCCGGACAACUUCCGAAGCGAGGAGUUAAUCUUUGACAUCGUCCCCUUCCGCAGCGGCUAUCACGCACUGCUCGGACGGACCGCAUUCGCUCGAUUCAUUGCAGUGCCACACUAUGCUUAUGUCAAGCUCAAGAUGCCUGGUCCACGCGGCGUCAUAACGGUCAAUGGAAAUACGGAACGCUCCCUCCGUACAGAAGAGCACACAGCUGCCUUAGCAGCAGAAGUACAAAGCGGCCUUCUCAAGCAGAACCUUAAUUCGGCUGCCGAGCUCACGCACACCGUUAAGAGGGUCUGAACCACCCUGCAGCAGGACAACUCGGCUUGUCAGGAGCUCGACUAGCAAUUGGGCCUCUGUCUCAGUCCCGAUCAAGUGGUGGCAUUCGUACCGCACGUACAUAACUACGCACUCAAAAUUCCAUGGGCAUCGACGGAGGCAUAGCUAGCUUGUGAUCCACAGUACGGCUCAACCGGCACCGGAUACACACAUACUUUCACUUCUCCUCUUUUUCCUUUUUCAGGUUUCAAUCCCGCAGGGCCCAUCUGAUGGCCCGAUCAUCGGUCCUCUUGAAGGAUUAACACACCAAGACGGCAAGAAACACAGAUGUAUGGGGGACUUUCAAGGUGGUUUCAUUAACGAUCACUCUACCUGUUUUUCAGGACCCACAUGCAGCUCUCCCUUGGUUUUUGAGCAUGUUAAAUAGCCUAUUGCUAAUCGCACUACUUGUAUCAAUGCGCCUUGACGUAUUAAUCAAAUUACAAUGGAAACAGUUCGCGGGCCGAGCUUUAGGGCCCCAGCUUAUGACCUUUGCACCCUUUCUGUUUUCUUUUCUUUUUCCCCUCCUGUGGGUUACCUUAUCAGGUAGCACUCGUACACUAUGGUGCGUUUCAUAUUUGCCAGGGGCUUCAUAGCACCCCGCACUACGGCAACAAAAGUCCAAACACUUUUUAUAGUAUAGUUCGGCACCCUGAAUUUAGCACUAUAUGCAUUGGCUCCGAAUCAUGUAUUUGGUCAAUAGUUGGGUUGCCCGGCUCCUGUGCUUGCUACCUUACGUUCCGCUAUAUCGGCUAAGGUAAUAAAGGGAGAACUACUGCGAUCGUGCCUUGGUUUAUCCAAAGGAGCACCUCAGUAGAGAAAGCCGAAAACUGACUGUCAUGAUGCGGCGAGAGCCGGUCAGCUCUUCGGAGGUUGCAAAUCGUUGGAGAUUUCUUCCGCAUUACGCGAAGGAUCGGUACUUCCCGAUCAGGCGCUUAUAGAACUCUAGUUCGGAUACUAGGGGAUGCGCCAACAUUUUUAUUGUCAAACUCCUAUGGCUAAGUGAGGGCGUUAAAGCCGCAUAGUCUGAUUGCCUGGUUCAUUGCGCUAAACAACUCCUUCAAGGACCAUAUAAUUGGAUCAAGAGUGUUUAGAUUCCAUCCCGAACACCUCCGUACUACCUACGUGGGGGCAGAAGCCGACGACUGGCCAACCCUCAGAUUUCAUACAACACGGCCGCACAGGAGGUAAAAUUUUCAAAACAUAACAAACAUUAUAUUACAUACCCACUUUGUUUUAUCAUACAAGGCAGAUGCAGCUCGGAUGCAUUCAUUCAAAGAUAAUGUCUUGCGAACACUGCGUCGCUACAAUACGAGACCCCUCCAGGACGUCUCCAAAAUACCGCUCAGGUGUGCGGUGCUCCUUUCCCUCGGGUGGCCCCUCGGUCACAAUCUUGAUGGCGUCCAUCUUCACCCACCAGACCUUGACGCGGGCAAAGGCCAUACGCCCUCGAUGCAGACGGACUGCUUGACGACGUCCAGCCGAGGACAGGCAUCCACCAGCCGCUUCACGAGGCCGAAGUAACUGCUGGGUAUAGAUUCGGCUGGCCACAGCCAGACUAUUAAAUCCUUCAUGGCCAGUUCGGCCACCCUGUGCAGCUCGAUGAGCUGUUUUAGCUGAUCGUUGAAGGGCACUGAAUGUUCUGGCGCAAGAUAUUGCGACCAGAACAACUUCUCCAUGGAGCUCCCUUCUUCGGCUCGGAAGAACUCCAUGGCGUUGGACACACUACGUGGCAGAUGAGCAAAAGCCCCUAGAGAACUCCGAAUCCGGGUUAGUAAAAGAUACUUCCUCUUCACAUACUUGCUUUGCAUACUAAAUGCCUUACCCGCCGCGAUCUUCCUGGCCUCCUGGAGGGUGCCCUGGGCCUCAUUCCGGGCCGUCUCCGUGCUCUGACGAGCCUUGGCGGGUUCCAUCUCUUUAGCCGAUGCAUCACACUCCAAGGUCUCGCACUUCCUCACCGCGUCCUGGAGCUCUUGCUGGACCUCGUUGAACCGGGCCUUGAGCUUCUUACGGGCGGCCUGCUCCUUGAUAGCCUUCCCCUCGGCUUCGGCCAGGGCCUUUUUUAGGGCCUUGAUCUCGGUCGUCGCUCCUAUACAUAUCAUGACACUUCGGUCAAUAUAUAUCAUUUUACUCUUUUCGAAUAUAUAACAGGUUAUUACAAACCUUGCUUCUCCUGGAGCUGCCUCCUCACCCGGCCGAGCUCCUCCUCGACCUGCUCCAGUCUCUGCCUCAGUCCGAAGACUUCGGCAGUAUGCGAGGCCGCGGCCAGCAGCGACGCCUGCGUAUUCAUUUCAGACAUAUUUAGUUAGUUUCCUGCAACAAGGGAUUGAUCCUCUGUCCGGCUUUUCUUUCCGAACACCGGACAGUGUCUCAGGGGCUACUGUCUGUAUUGGGAUCUUCUCUUUUUGCGUCGCUUACCUCAAAACCUGUCAGCAGGCUAUUGCAGGCUUCGGUUAGUCCGCUCUUGGCAGACUGAACCCUUUCAAUUACCGUGCCCAUAAGAACACGGUGCUCAUCAACAAUGGAAGCGCCUCGCAGCGCUUCCAGCAGAUUAUCCGGUGCCCCUAGUUGGACAGGGGUCACCGGCGGAAUAGGCAUCCCCCUUAUUUCGAAGGAGGUUGCAUGCCGGAUUCCGGAGCCGUAUCGGUCUCCGGAAUUGAGUUUGGCUGAGGGCCGAACUGAAUACGGCCCUCAUCACCAGUCUCCAUGGGGAUUGGCUCCCCCUGGUGUCCGGCGACGGAGGUUUCGCUUUCUGGCACCUACUGAACCUCUCCCGACCUGGGAAAGUCUUCCGGGACAGCACCUCGGCGUCUCCCUUGGCCUUGGGGGAGUGAGCGGUCGGCGGUGACUCGCUGGCCAUCGCCUUUGAAUCCAACUAACCUCUUGACGAGGAUCGCUGGGAGCUGUCGUGGGCCGGACUGCAAUAGCAUAAUUAACCAUUCAAUACAAUGAAGAGGAGAGGCUGGAUUUAUGGGUAUGUAUGAGUCUUAGCACUUAUGAUGCAGCCCGAGGCUUAGUGCGGGGGCGUCACUCCGGACUGCUGUCGACAUCCCACGCGGAGUUAUCCGCAAGGGAGCCCUUCCCCUUCUUGGACGUCUCCGCCUCCAGAUUCGUGGAGGCCGCCCUCUUCUUCUUUCCCUCAUCAGGGGGAGGGUUGUUCUCCUCCUCCUCCUCAUCGUCGUCCUCAGCGGCGGAGGAAAGGGUCACUUCGUCUUCGGACGUCACGUCCGAAGCACCCUUGUGACGGGGCCACCUUUGGCCCCCUUGGCCUUCUUCUUGGCCUUCUUUUCCGGCGGACGAUAGGGCGCCGGAACCAGCAUCUUCUCCAGGAGCGGGAUGACUGGCUCUUCGGGCAGUGGAGCCGAACUCUGGAUCCGCUCCGCUCUCUCCGUCCACACCUAAAAAAAUACAGCAAAGAUUAGGCAUCCUCCUUGAAUAGACAAGUGGAAGGUACACCUUGAGAAAAGGAGAACUUACCGCAUUGGCGGGAUGGGAGUGAUCGUGCCCACAGUCCGAAUCUAUGACCGGCGGCUUCUCGUUGCCCUUGAAAAGCAACUUCCAGGCAUCUUCGUGAGUAGUUCCGAAGAGCCCUCCCAGGGUCUGGUGCUUCUCCGGAUCGAAUUCCCAUAAAGGAAAGCUUCGGCUUUGGCAAGGGAGAAUCCGGCGAACGAGCAUCACCUGGAUCACGUUGACGAGCUUGAUGUUUUAUCCACCAUACUCUGAAUGCGCCUUUGCAGCGCUAUCAGCUCGUCUGACGCCGACCAGUUGGGGCCCUUCUUCGUCCAGGAGGUGAGCCACAUUGGAGCUCCGGCCUUAAAUUUGGGAGCCGCCGUCCAAGUGGCGCCGCGUGGCUCUGUGAUGUAGAACCACUGCUUCUGCCACUCCUUGACAGUCUCCACAAAAGUGCCUGUGGGCCAAGUGACGUUGGGCUACUUGCUCACCAUGGCGCCUCCGCACUCCACGUGCUGACCAUCCACCACCUUCGGCUUCAUGUUGAAGACCUUGAGCCAUAGGCCGAAGUGGGGUUGGAUGAGGAGGAAGGCCUCGCACACGACAAUGAAUGGCGAGAUGUUGAGGAAGGAGUUCGGGGCUAGAUCAUGGAAAUCUAGCCCGUAAUAGUACAUUAGUCCGCGGACGAAAGGGUGAAGUGGAAACCCCAAUCCGUGGAGGAAGUGAGGGAGGAAAACUACCCUCUCAGUAGGCUUCGGGGUGGGGAUGACUUGCCCCUUGGUAGGCAGACGGUGGGCGAUUCCUUUCACCAGAUACCCGGCCGCCCGAAGCUGGGUGUUGUCCUUCUCCUUGACAGAGGAGACCAUCCACUUGCCUUGGCCUCCGGAUCCGGACAUGAUUGAGUGCUUCCUUGAGGAGGAGAAGAUGGGAACUUGGGCGCUGGAGCUCGAGAAUGGAAGGACAGAGAGGAAGAGAAGGCGUGGGUGAAGAAAGGGAAUCCUUAUCUCCUUAUAAAGGCAGUGAAUAUUGAACGCCUCCCCACUCGCCUUAAAACUCGCCUGUUCCCAAGGGCCGUGUAAACAGCACGGUUGGGUUAACCACGCCCGUAUUGAUGAGAAGCCCGCAAUAAGGGGACACGAUCUCUGCUUCGACAAGACGUGCCAAUGGAAAACGCGUCUCGAAACGUGGAGCGGCAGAUGAAAAACGGUUCGAAAUUGUGACCGAUCGGGCGUGAUGUCAUGUUGCGAAAAGUUGUCAGCGGAUUGGACUCGUGGAAUAUUAUAUUCUCUGCGGUUGAGUGUGGUGUGUGUGUUACAGGUCUGGACACGAUCAUUAUGUCCGAAGGCUAUCUUGGAGUUCGGAAGGAGAAACCCACCUUGCAAUGCCGAAGACAGAUCUGCGCGUCGGAUACCUCGUCAUUGAAGCCAGGUUCAGGGGCUACUGAGGGAGGCCUAGACUAAGGGGUCCUCGGGCGUCCAGCCUGUUAGCCGUGGGCCGGACUGAUGGGCUGCGAAGAUGUGAAGACCGAAGACUGCACCCGUGUCCGGAUAGGACUCUCCUUGGCGAUCAAAUAUGUAGAUUCAUUUGUCUGUAACCGAUCUUAUGUAACCCUAGAUCUCUCCGGUGUCUAUAUAAACCGGAGGUCUUAGCCCGGAGGAAGAUACUCAUUACCAUAGUCAUACAGGCUAGACUUUUAGGGUUUAUCCAUUACGAUCUCGUGGUAGAUCAACUCUUGUAAUACUCAUAUACAUCAAGAUCAAUCAAGCAAAAAGUAGGGUAUUACCUCCGUAGAGAGGGCCCGAACUUGGGUAAACAUUGUGUCCCCUGUCUCCUGUUACCAUCGACCUUGGACGCCCAGUUCGGGACCCCCUACCCGAGAUACGCCGGUUUUGACACCGACACCUCUCGCUCACUCCCGCUUUUAGAGCCCGGCGGCGUACUCUUGUCCCCAUCCAUGAUAAGCAACCCCCUGGCAUAUGUCGCUAGAUAUCCCCGACAGAGCAUCUGCCGCCAGGCGCCCCAAAAAGGUCUUCAACACCCGGGAGGCCCGUCUGGUCACUGACCGGUAACGGUUUUUAUCCAGACGAACGCCUUAAAAUAGUCUCAAACAUCCGGACUGACCGACACCUCAACCCGGCAAUCCGACCCAUGGGUAGCGUCGCCCGUGGGCACCCGACCCUAAAGGUGCCGACGACGAGAACUUGCGUGGUUCUACUAUUGGUUCGAUAACCUUGAUUCUCAUUGAGGGAAACACUUAUCUGCUACUAUAUUGCUUCACCAUUCCUCUUCGGAGAAAAUCCCAACGCAGCUCACAAGUAGCAUUGAGUAAGGGAAAUUUCAGUUUGUUGGAAGGUCUUGAUGUCCCGACGAUGUAUUGAUGUGUGUUUUGUAAGCAAUAUGGGUUCACACAAUAUUAGGUGAUUUCAUCUUGGUGGUUCUCAACAAUAAUUAAUGUGUAGCCACAUUUAAUCGAGCUAAGCAUGUUGUCAGCUUAAUUUGCAGAAAUGUGUUUCACAUUUUUCCUGUUUUAUAUUGACGCGUUAUAUAGCAAAAUAAAUAGAACUUCAUUUUUUUCCAAUAGUCAUGAUGUCUCCGCCACAUUGUAGAUUUUGGACUUUGUUAUGUUUAAUUUAUUAGAACUCGGAAGUUGAGAGACUUACUUUGAUAGUGUUGGUCCUAUUGCACGGUGACAUUCAUAAAUAAGAUUUUGUGCCUAUUAUGUUAUUGUAUCCACAAAUACGAUCUAUUCCAGGCUAUGUUUGUUAAUUUUAUCAUGUUUGGUGCUUUGUUGAGAUAUGAUUUGACGUUUGUUGUCUUUUCAUUUUAGUUUCAGGAAUUGAUGCUAGAUUUUUACCGUAUCGACACGAUUAUAGUCUUUACUUCUAGUUCUGAUGGUCGGUUUCCCUAGGUUUCAUGUCGGCUCAAAUCUACUAAACUACUAUUAUGUGACUAUUUCCCUAUAGGUGUUACUAGUGUUUUUUAUCGCUUUGUUGUGUUUGCUUUCAAAUGACCAAUGAGAAACACUAAUGUAUCCUUAUCUUAUGUUUUAGCUGUGGAAUGUAUUCUUUUGUCAGUAGUUUUUCCUCCAUACACUUAAAAGAUAGUGUUUCUUCCAUUUUUGUGCAUUAUGAGGAGUUCAUGAGAUUUCUGUUUGGGCUCUUGGGAUUAGAACCAAUAUUCUUAGUGGACCCAUGAUUUACAAGAAAAAUACUUGUUAGAGAUCUGAGUGGNNNNNNNNNNNNNNNNNNNNNNNNNNNNNNNNNNNNNNNNNNNNNNNNNNNNNNNNNNNNNNNNNNNNNNNNNNNNNNNNNNNNNNNNNNNNNNNNNNNNNNNNNNNNNNNNNNNNNNNNNNNNNNNNNNNNNNNNNNNNNNNNNNNNNNNNNNNNNNNNNNNNNNNNNNNNNNNNNNNNNNNNNNNNNNNNNNNNNNNNNNNNNNNNNNNNNNNNNNNNNNNNNNNNNNNNNNNNNNNNNNNNNNNNNNNNNNNNNNNNNNNNNNNNNNNNNNNNNNNNNNNNNNNNNNNNNNNNNNNNNNNNNNNNNNNNNNNNNNNNNNNNNNNNNNNNNNNNNNNNNNNNNNNNNNNNNNNNNNNNNNNNNNNNNNNNNNNNNNNNNNNNNNNNNNNNUGAGACGAAGAUGCUCAUCGGUGCCUGAAUGAUAUGUCUCCAACGUAUCUAUAAUUUUUGAUUGUUCCAUGUUGUUAUAUUAUCAAUCUUGGAUGUUUUACAAUCAUUUAUAGUCAUUUCAUAUCAUAUUUUGGUACUAACCUAUUGACGUAGUGCCAAGUGCCAGUUGCUGUUUUUUCCAAGUUUUUUACAUCACAGAAAAUAAAUAUCAGACAGAGUCCAAAUGCCACGAAACUUUACGGAGAAUUUUUAUGGGCUAGAAGGUACACAACGGGCCCUGGUGCCACCUAGGGGGUGCCCCGAGGGGGGCAAAACCCACCAGGGCGCGCCAGGAGGCCCAGACGCGCCAUGGUGGGUUGUGCCCACCUUGGGUGCCCCCCGGAUCGCCUCUUUGCUCUAUAAAUAUCCCAAUAUUCCAGAAACCCUAGGGAAGUCGACGAAAUAUUCAUCCAGCCACCGCAGAGUCCAGAACCACCAGAUCCAAUCUAGAGACCAUCUCGGAUGGGGUUCACCACGUCCAUUGGUGCCUCUCCGAUGAUGCGUGAGUAGUUCUUUGUAGACCUUCGGGGUCCGUAGUUAGUAGCUAGAUGGCUUUCUCUCUCUCGCUGGAUUCUCAAUACAAUGGUCUCUUGGAGAUCCAUAUGAUGUAACUCUUUUUGCGGUGUGUCUGUUGGGAUCUGAUGAACUUCGAGUUUAUGAUCAGUUAUAUAUUUUUAUAUCCAUGAAAGUUAUUUGAGUUUUUUGAUCUCUUAUAUGCACGAUUGCUUAUAGCCUCAUAUUUCUUCUCUGAUAUUUGGGUUUUGUUUGGCCAACUUGAUCUAUUUAUCUUGCAAUGGGAAGAGGUGCCCGGUUGUGGGUUCGAUCUUGCGGUGCUUGAUCCCAGUGAUUGAAAGGGAAACGAUACGUAUGUAUCGUUGCUACUAAGGAUAAAACGAAGGGGUCUAUCUCUACAUAGAUAGUUCUUGUCUAGAUCAUGUCAUCGUUCUUAUUGCAUUACUCCGUUUCUCCAUGAACUUAAUACACUAGAUGCAUGCUGGAUAGCGGUCAAUGUGUGGAGUAAUAGUAGUAGAUGCAGGCAGGAGUCAGUCUACUAAUCUUGGAUGUGAUGCCUAUAUAAUGAUCAUUGCCUGGAUAUCGUCAUAAUUAUUUGAAGUUCUAUCAAUUUCCCAAGAGUAAUUUGUUCACCCACCAUUUGCUAUUUUUCUCAAGAGAAGCCACUAGUGAAACCUUCGGCCCCCGGGUCUUCUUUCUCAUAUAUUUGCCUUCGCGAUCUACUUUUUCCUUGCAUUUAUUUUCAUAUCUAUUAAACUAAAAAUACAAAAAUACCUUGCCGCAUUUUUUCCUUAUUUAUUUUAUGUGGCGUUCGAUCUAUCAAUUUACUACAAAACUUUAUCCCGUCUGCGCACCAUUUCUGGCACCGUUACCAGAAAGGGAUUGACAACCCCUUUAACACGUCGGGUUGCGAGUGGUUGUUAUUUGUGUGCAGGGGCUGUUUACGUUGUGUUGCUUGAUUCUCCUACUGGUUCGAUAACCUUGUUUUCAUAUAUGAGGGAAAUACCUACCACCGCUGUGCUGCAUCAACCCUUCCUCUUUGGGGAAAUACCGACGUAGCUUCAAGUGACAUCAAAAGGAAUUUCUGGCGCCAUUGCCGGGGAGGAUCUUCAACAUAUACCAGGUUCCUAAUCACAAAUCUCAUCUCCUAGCAAUUUACAUUAUUUGCCAUUUGCCUCUCGUUUUCCUCUCCCCCACUUCACAAAAAUUUGUUGUUUUAUUCGCCUCUCUUUUUCUUUCACCAUUUUCUUGUCAGAUCUAUCCUUUCAUGCAAUCAUGAGUGAUUUUGGUAUAGCACCAAUAGAUGAUGGCACUACAAAAAAAA